rnacentral:rRNA from 1 species
UACGUAGGUGACAAGCGUUAUCCGGAAUUACUGGGCGUAAAGCGCACGCAGGCGGCGCAUUAAGUCUGAUGUGAAAUCUCCCGGCUUAACUGGGAGGGGUCAUUGGAAACUGAUGUGCUCGAGGCGGUGAGAGGGGUGUAGAAUUCCCGGUGUAGUGGUGGAAUGCGUAGAUAUCGGGAGGAAUACCAGUGGCGAAAGCGGGGCCCUGGCACUAGCCUGACGCUCAUGUGCGAAGGCGUGGGGAGCGAACGGG